GGUACCGUGGCGGAGAGGCUACGCACCGGAUUGCAAAUCCGUGUACACCGGUUCGAAUCCGGUCGGUACCUCCA
rnacentral:tRNA from 5 species